CCGCUCGCGGCCCUCCCGCCUGGCUCUCGCCUCGGCCUGCGGCCGGGAUCCUCCGCCCGGGUCGCGCAGCGGAGGCCGAGGGCUGGGACGGGCGGCUGGGAAGUGGGAAAGGGAGCUCCUUUUGUCUUCUCUUCCCAUCCCCCAGGUUUGGGAAAGUUUUCCUUUUGGGAAAGCCCCUCUCUUCAGCCUGCUGGCGGGUGUCGGAUUGGUUAGCGACCACCGGCCCCCGCCUCCCCCAACAGGAUUCUCCUUUGGGCCACAGGUCUUCCGGAAGUUGCCAAACCCCGGUAGCGGCAGCGUCCGGCUGGGGGCUUUAUUAGGGGGCACCGGGGUCUGCUUUCCGACUCCCUUCCGACUCCGCGCCUGCGCAGGAAGCGAUUUGGGGAGUGUUGUGAAUUCCGAGGGCUCCACACUUAAGAGGUUGUACACUCACCUGUCUACCUGGACUCCAAUUUCCAUAUUUCCAGCCACUUGAGGACUGAGAGGUGGAUGAUAAACCCUGUCAUAGUGGAGCAAGUUCAGGUGUUUAACCGCUGUUAUGGGGGAUCUGCCUUUUCUCCCUCUUCUUUCUUACUUCCAUAAGUAUGUAUGUGCAGAGAUUGAAAAAUAACCUUGAGAGAGUCCAUCCAUCUAACUCCAGGAAACAUUGCAGCGUUAUAAGAGAAAUUAUAGACUAUUUGUUGAAGCUCAGCAUGUCCAUCUCCCUGCUUUGAAGAAGGCAAGCUUCAUUAAAACCAACAUCUUAC
rnacentral:lncRNA from 1 species